GCGAAGGUGGCGGAAUCGGUAGACGCACUGGAUUUAGGUUUCAGCGCCUUAACGGUGUGAGGGUUCGAGUCCCUCCCUUCGCA
rnacentral:tRNA from 1 species